rnacentral:rRNA from 1 species
UACGGGGGGGGCAAGCGUUGUUCGGAAUUACUGGGCGUAAAGGGCUCGUAGGCGGCCAACUAAGUCAGACGUGAAAUCCCCAGGCUUAACUUGGGAACUGCGUCUGAUACUGGAGGGCUUGAGUGCGGGAGAGGGAUGUGGAAUUCCAGGUGUAGCGGUGAAAUGCGUAGAUAUCUGGAGGAACACCGGUGGCGAAGGCGGCAUCCUGGACCGACACUGACGCUGAGGCGCGAAAGCUAGGGGAGCAAACGGG